AAGAUUCGCAAGGCCAUCCAUAAGGAUAUCGGUGCAAGCCCGAUGGGAGAGCGGCGACCUCUCCUGGCGCUCAUGGAUCCAUA
rnacentral:ribozyme from 1 species